GGAGGGAUGAGACUAGGGAGGGGAAGGAGGGGUGGGGGGUUGGUGCCCGGGCAGGCGGCUAUGUUCUUUAAACGCCUUUUCUUAGGUCCGACAAUAUGGUGUGUGCCACUAAACACUCCUGACGGAAUUUAAUGUAAUUAUCGGAUUACAGUGCUGCGCCUCCGAAGCUGGAAAUAUUUACUACUAUACGGACGACGGAGGCGUUUUCAUGCUCUGAUGCGCAGUUAGGGUUGCGGGGUGAUUUGACUGGGUCGUACAGAGUUUUUAAGCCCUCCGUUUUGACAGCAUAGAUUAGUCUGUCAGUUAUUGGCGAAGGAGGAUUUUCCGUCGAGGAGUGGAGCGCAUUACGCACAUCCAAGACGCACAAGUGGACAUGACAACCGUAAAGUCGAAGCGGAUUUGAUAACAUCUUCGUAAAAACUGGGGGUUUUGACCUGUCCCAGAGGCUUCAAAGAGGACCAGCACCAACCAUUUUGUCCAAAAAGUUGCACUUUUUCUGUUAUGUCUGUCUCCUCUCUGCCGGAAUGGAAGCAGCUCCUGCUGGAGAAAAAGAGGCGAGAGGAGGAGGAGCGAGAGAGAAGGGAAAAAGAGGAGGAGGAGAAGCUCGCCAGCAUGCCUGCCUGGAAGCGGGGGAUCAUCCAGCGGAGGAAGGCCAAGCAGGAGAGUGUGGGUGACAAGGAGAAGGACAGAGACGCCUGUCUCCUGCAGGUGGAUGUCAGAUCUCCUUCUGAUGGUCUGAGUGACACGGACAGCUCUGUAACCAUUAAUCUGGGAAGCGAACCAUCACUCAGUCCAGAUCCGGGGCAAUGGCUGGAUGCAGACCCCAAAUCAGUGAGUCAGGUGUCUCUGGAAACUAUAGUUCCAGUCCAUGAAAACCCAUUUAUUCGCACACAGAGUGCAUGGAGGAAGGGCAGGGAUGCAGAUAUAGGGAACGAGCCAGAGAUUAAGGAGAAGGAGAAAGAAAAAUCAAGCCCCAAGGGUCAAGAUGGGGAGUCAGGAAGAGAAAGAGGUAUAGAGCUGAAAAUAGAGAGAUUCAGAGAUUUGAGUGAAGGACGAGAAAAAGAGAGAAGCAGGGACAGGAGUCAAGGAAGAGAACGAGAGAAUAGCAGGGAGAGAUUGGAAAAAGAUAAAAGUCAAAGCCAAUGGAAAGAGUCAGUUAAAGAUGUAAUGAGGGAGAGGGAAAUGCUCAAAGUUAGAAAAGACGAGGAGGAAAAAGAAACAGAUCCACCGUCUGGUUCGUUUUCUCCCCUCGUCCCUGGUCUUCGAACCAUCCGAGCCGACAACAUCAUCAUCAUCGAACAGGACAGGAAAGGCAGCGAUGAGAGAAGGGGGAGAUGGAGGGAGGCGGAGAGGGAGAGGCCCGAGGAGGACAACCAGGGGAAGCGAGGGAUGAAGAUGGACCUGAGGGAGAUCCUGGCCGGAGGAGGGAGCGUCACCGAGAUCCGAGCCUCUGAAGUUCUAAUCAUAAAGCCCUCUGCGAGCCCUGAGGAGAGGAAUACAGGAGGAAAAGGGAGAGAGGAUGGAGAGAUGAAGUGCAGCAUGGAUGUAAGGAGGGAGAGUAUCAGCAGGGAGCUCAGAACAGACAUGUCCUGGCUAAGAGAAAAAGAGAAAGAGCCUCUAAAGGAGAAAGAAAGACCAUGGGGCCAGGCAACAGUUAUUAAAGAAGACAGAAAAGAAAGCUUGGAUGACAAUGUGUUUGUCGAGAAAGGAGGGAGGGUUAGCCAGCUGCUGAGUAAAUUCGGAGAGCUCCCCAAGCCGCCGUCUCGGUCCAAAAGUUCUGAUAACUUCCUCCGACAUGGGAGGAGAAAAUACUCAGGAGAUGAAGAUGACCAACAAUCUGAGGAGAGGAAGGCAGACGGGAGGAAUAUGCUAAUGAAAGGCGCGCCGAAGCGCUCUUUAAGCUUCUCUGAUCGAGUCAUCUGUGCGAAGGAGAAUGGUUUAGGUGACGAAUCGUGUUUUGAGAGAAAAAUGCGUGAGAGGAUAUAUUCAGACAAGAGCAUGGCACCAUGGGUAGACCUGGCAGGUUUAGGGAGGGAGACCACAGCAAAGAUUAAAAUGGGGUGUGCACGGCUUUUAGAUAAAGACAGGUUUGGAAAGCAUAGAGAUGGACAUGUUAAAAAUGAGGGGGAAAAGGGGGGGUCCAUGCAGGGCAGAAAUGAGGCAGAAAUGAGUACCUCUAUCCAAAACAGGAGUGAGAUUAAGAAAGUUGAGCCUGUUGAUAGGAGGGCUGCAGAGAAGGCAAGUGAUGCAGAUGGAGACGAGGGGUUCACGGUUGCCUCUGUCAAAAACACAGAGGGAAUCUCGUUUGCCAGGAGAGUGCCAAUCAGGCAGGAUGGGAAAGCAAGAGCUGAGAGAGACGUGAAGCGGCUGACAGGUGAGAAAAGUUUGGAAAGGGAGCUGAGCAUGGAGAAAGAUUCAGAAGCAGGAGAACAGGUCGAGGCACAAGAUAGCGACAAAAAGGGGUCUGAUUUUCUGGGAGAAGAUGGAUUUGAAAGCACAAUCCCUAUUGAAACUGUGCAGAACAUGACAGACACAGCAAAUCCAUGCCCCGCUGCUGAGAGUCACUACAGACAGGAAUCAGCUUUCACCGAGUGCUCCAGUCUACUCUGUGCAAUCACAGAUAGGGCCAGAGACCCCCACAGAGGGCCAGAGUGGAGUGGUAUCGGACCACGAGGACCCUUCCUAACACAUUCUGUUUUGUCCCAGCACACAGAGGAUCUCAUCAGUAAAAUAGAAAAAAUAGGAGACACAACUGUUUAUAGCAACGAGAAGGGAGAGAGGGCUUACAAGGCUGAUCACGAACUGGCCAAAGACUGCAAACAAGAAGGACAACAUUACAGCGACGUCGGAUCGGAAGGCUUCAUUCAUGACGUAACACCCAGAUCUCCAAAAAGGCUCACACCUAUAGGAAUCCCUCCAGGUCCCCUCGAAAUUCAGAUCCCCAGGACCGUGUUUUAUGUUGCGGAAGAAAUGGUGGAGAAAAAAAAGGCUGUAGGUCAAGGCGACGAGGGGCAAGACUGGGAAGGAGGACAAGGGGUCGAGAGGAGGGAUAGCUGGAGGAUCGGAAAGCCCUUGAGCCGCAUCGAGUCCCUGCGAGAGAAAAUUCGACAAAGAGAGCUGGAGAGGUUGAGACAAAGAGAGACACAGGAUGGAGACGGAGUCGAGGCUGCAGAGAUCAAUGAGACUCAAACAGCUGGGGACGAGGGGGAAACUGAAAUAGAGCAAGAGUGGGAAGCUGCAGCUCAGAUGCGGAAGAGGAUGGUUGAGGCUGAGAGGGGACAGGAAGACAAUGCAGCACAGACAUCCAUGGCUGCGUUUGACGUCACGCAGGAAGUCGACAUUUUGAAAACCAGCCCUCAGCUUCCUGUUUCUGUCUCACCAGCUGUCAGAGGAGAGGAAGUAACAAGCGGGUACGCCACUGCUGCCUCUGAAGUCAUCUCUGAUAGCUCUCAGAUAUCUGAGGAUGAAGACGACCCCCUGAAACAUGCGGAACAGCUGAGGUGCCACAGGGGCCGACACGAGAGCAGAGAAGAAGAGAGGGAGGAGGAAGAAAAGGAGGUGGAGGAAUAUACAUCGUCUCUCGAUCCCACACAAUCCCUAUCCUCAUCGCCCCCUCAUCCCAACUCCCUUGCAGCCAUGAGCCGGAUCUACAACUUGGAAACUGUCGGCUCGAGGUCAGGUUUGUGUCUGAGGGAGAGGACUGUAGACAUUUCAUCAGUGCACCUUGUUAAAGUGAAGCCCAUCAUAUCAAACGCACAGCAGGGCGACAGUAAAGCUUUAACAGGUGAAGACAUUAGUGGGGUUCAGACGAUACAACGACAGAUAGAGCAGUUUCAGCUGAAAGAGCAGGAAGCACAGAAGUCUUGUACAUCGCCAAACACAAAAAGGCAGCAAAGCCCCAGACGAGUGUUAAGGCACCAGGUAAAGGACGAUGUCAAGACCCAGGUGAAGGAUCAGUCAGAAUCAAACUACAAAAUGUCGCCUCAGCGUGUUUGUUCUCCAACAUCUCAGGUCAAACAAACUAUCACCGUCAACCCCUCAUUUCUCAGGAGCCAAUCCCCGGACAAUACCUUGAAACCCUCUGACUGCGCCCCGACCCCAGCCUCCUCACCAAGCUCCCCGUCUCCUGCCCAGUCUCCCAGUGUCUCUCCAUCGCCCACCCCAUCGCCCACGCUCUUCUCCAUCAGGAGUGCCUCUGGGGGUCAAGUGAAGAGAGGCGCCACCAUCACAAUCACCCCAAAAAAGCAUGUUGCUGGAGGAGGAGGAACGGGGUCCACAACAGGGUCUACAUCAGCAGGGACUACUCCCGCAAAGACCACAUCGCAGCAGGCCCAAAUAACCUCAGCUGUGGCUGAGCCAACAAAGAAGAAAUUCCCCACCGUGGAGGAGAUUGAGGUGAUUGGUGGAUAUCAAAAUCUGGAGAAGUCUUGUCUGGUCAAAAACAGAGGGACCCCAAAAAAGGUGAAGGUGUGUUUUGAUGAGGACCAGCUGGAGCAAGUGUGUGAGUACCCGUCAGAGACCUCCAUGCUGGUGUGUACCCCCUACCCUCAUGACCUGGGGAGGCCGCAAGGAGAGGAGGCGCAGUUGGAGGAAGCUGAUGUAGAAGGAGGAGCGAUAGUGUCCAAAAGCACAAGUAAUGUUGGGACUGCAACAGGACGGGGUCUAAGAGUGGGUCAAUGUCACCCCCUUCUUAAAAAACACAAUGUGUAAUGAGGUUGUUUUGCUUUUCAACAUGUCUUACAGACUUUGCCGCUCUCCUGUGAAACUCUCCAUAGAUGAGUCUUGCCCUCGGUAGAAGCCAGUCAUCUUCGCCAAAGUUUCCCAUGUGAUGAGACAUCUGUUAAAACAAUAUUUUGUGAUUUUUGUUGUUUUCUUUCAUUUGAAUAAUUGACUUGAGUGUUGACGUGAGUGUUUUGUAAUCCUUGUGGUGUUUUGUGUAAAUAGCAUCAUGAUGAAUGAUUGUUGUGGAGGAAAUGUACAGUUCAGUUUGAUUUAUGCAGUUGUAAAGAGACAUAAUUGUGUUUACUGGACAAAAUAUUACCUAGUUUAUUUUCAGGGAAAUUGAGGGACAAAUAUGAAUGUAAAGGAAUGGUACAUAUUGUAAAAAUAUUAUAAAAGACCCUCAGGUGUGCACUGUUGGCUGAUGAAGGAUCACUUGUCUAUGCAAUAUAAUGAAACUGCUAAGAUUUUUUUUAUUUUUAGUUAAUAUAUUUGACAGUUUCUUCUAUGUUAAUUACUUUCUAAAUUUAAGUCAGCACUGCCUCAGCACAGAAGAGUGAUGUUCAUAUCAUCUGGUUUCAUGUGCCUGCUGGAUUUGCCCAUACAGAUGAUAUGAAUCAGUUCAUGUAGAUAUUUGACUCUUGUCUGAAGCCUUUCAGAAAAAUCUCCUCUCAGCGGGUAUUGCGUUGAACAGUGCAGGCACAUGUCAUGGUGCAAUGUGUGUGGCGUCCUAUGUCUUAUGUGGGGUUUAAUUGAGCCUUACUGUUCAUAAAAAAAGAGGUCUGGUAACAGUUCACUUAAUGUGUAUGGAUAUAAACUGAUGUUUUUGUCAUGUGGAAGUAGAGAGAGUUGUGUGUGUGGAAGUCCCUGAGAGGAAGAAGAGUGUAUAAUAUAAACAAUUCAGUUACCAGAUUAACUUUGUCAUAUUACAGCUGCUAUCUGACUUUUGGCUGUAUUACCUUUAUAAUAUAAUCUAUACAAAAUAUUUCUUGUUUGUAAAUGAAUAUUUUAAUUGGUAAAAGAUGUGUUAUAUGCAAACUAUCUGCAAAUUCUUUGAAAAUAUUUUUUUUCUAUGACAGUUGAAGAAGCUGGCUUCAAGAGAAAAAAAAUAAUAAACAAUUCUGCAAAAAAAAGG